AGAGUCUUUCUCUAGAGACUUUUAAUUCUUCAAAGCGUCUCCCUUAUAGAGAUUAUACAAAGUCAACAUCUUUAAAUCUUUCUGGGUUCUCUCAUAGCUCGUGGAUCGGUGAAAUGCAGCAAGCUUCUGACAAAUCAAUAAUCAUUGGUGAAAUCCUGGAUUCUUGGACUGGAAACCUGGUCUCAGUGUCCAGAAUCAAUGAUUGUGUUACCAAAUGAACUGGUGAGUAUGGCACUGGCAAUGUUGGCUGAAGACAAGCAAAAAAAAUCAUGUUCUAGAUAAUUCGUUGCUGUGGAGGGGAAUGAGAUGUGUAUUAAACCUGCAGAAUUCGAUCUAUUUGACUAGGAAGAGCUUUCUUUUUACGAAACAAUAAUCAGGGGACGUCAAAGAAACGAAUUUGUGAUUUGGUAUCGCCUUUCAAAUGCAGAUCAUGUGAUAAUUAACCCUCCAGAGAAGUCAAAACCAAGAAAAUGGCCCCUUGAUGAUGUUUUUGUUGUCAUCUCCUUGGGUGAAUGACUGUAAACAAUUGAUGGUUUCUGGUAUCAUAGCAUCUAUUAAGUCUUUUCUUUAUAUUCUAUCCAACUCUACAAAAAUUCUCUCCCAACCUCCCAUGUACGUACAAGGCC
rnacentral:misc_RNA from 1 species